rnacentral:rRNA from 1 species
CCUACGGGAGGCAGCAGUGAGGAAUAUUGGUCAAUGGCCGAGAGGCUGAACCAGCCAAGUCGCGUGAGGGAAGAAUGUCCCAUGGAUUGUAAACCUCUUUUGUCAGGGAGCAAAGUCACCCACGUGUGGGUGUUGGAGAGUACCUGAAGAAAAAGCAUCGGCUAACUCCGUGCCAGCAGCCGCGGUAAUACGGAGGAUGCGAGCGUUAUCCGGAUUUAUUGGGUUUAAAGGGUGCGUAGGCGGGUUAUCAAGUCAGCGGUAAAAUCGUGGAGCUCAACUCCAUCCAGCCGUUGAAACUGAUGGUCUUGAGUGGGCGAGAGGUAUGCGGAAUGCGUGGUGUAGCGGUGAAAUGCAUAGAUAUCGCGCAGAACUCCGAUUGCGAAGGCAGCAUACCGGCGCCCGACUGACGCUGAAGCACGAAAGCGUGGGUAUCGAACAGGAUUAGAUACCCUUGUAGUC